UUUUGUUGUUUUUCAGUUGUUUCAGGCAUGUGUGGCUCUUCAUGACUUGAGGUUUUCCUGGCAAAGUCUUUAGGUUACAAGACUUGGUGAUCUGUACUGAUAGAAGAUAUGUUGACAUUGGAGUUUUUCUACCAGAUGAAAUCACAGGCACAGACAGGUUAAGGUGAAAUCCUGGGCAAGAAACAGUUGAAGAGGUGAGAAGACCUCAUUGGAAUAGGAUCAGAUCACAGAGACUCAUGGGAACUUAGAAGCGGGCUCUGAGGGAGUAAGCCCAUCUUCCUGUACCAAUGCCAAGGUGUAUGUGACUUUCCCAAGUGAGAAAUGGAUCCCAGAGGAUACUGCCUUGAAGUGUUGCCUCUGAUCCUUAUACCCUAACUAUCCUUUCAUCAGAGUAGUAUUGGCUGCAUAUCUGAGAAAGGGGGAAGGCAAAGAAUGAGAUGGAUCAUGGAAGCAACAAACAGGAACUUGGACAGACUUCAAGAGAUGGGAAAAUCUAUUUCUCCUCCUCUCCAAGGCUAAGGUUCAACAUGCUAUCCAUUCUACUACUUAAUAUGUAUGGCCAACAAUAACCUUCCUAGAUGCUAAGUCACAUCAAAAAAGCAGAAUUUAUCUGAAUGGAAUCAUCUCAUCAGAGGUGUGAACAAGUGUGAAAGAGGCCUGUUCAUCAAUCAAUCAAAGAACAAAGACAUUUCAACUAGGCACUGAAGUAAGCCUUAGAAAUAGAAAUUAGAAAGAAAAAUACAGAUCCUGUCUGCCCUCAAGGAGCUUACAAGAUAAUGAGGGAAGAUAAUACACAAAAGGAAGCUGAAGAGAGUAAGUCAUGGACAAUUUUGUUUCUUGGAAUCCAAACCAAGCAGAACUCGUGAUGAAAGUGAAGAAUUAUUUAGAAAGUUCUAACAGUUCAAAGACCUCUAUAAAGGAAAAGUUUGGAAGAAUUUAGUGGGGGAGAAUCACGAUGGAGUGAGAAACUGUUGAAUAUAAAAGAUCGAGUCAAUUAGCAUGGUGAUAUUUACCAGUUCCCAAUAAAUUCGCCCACACUAGCAAAUGUCUAUGGGCAACAUUGUUUAUAUUUUAUGAUGUAGAUCGAAGAGAGAAAGUGCAGGUUAUUUUUAAUCCAGUUGGGACCCAUCUCUGAUUCCAGACUAGCACAGUAAAAUUCAGGUAUAUUCUGUCUCCUCUCCCCACCAUUUCAUUUCCCACCUUCAUUACCACUUUCAGCACUGCAUAUCUAUCAAGGCAGCAUGGCACUCUUGUCAUGAUCUCAUUGUGGUAGGUUAAUAACCACACCCCAAUUUUUCAGAUUUUACCCUUCAUAGGCCUCAAGUGAUUGAUAUGUUUGAAGGGAACUUAGAGAAUAUGAUGUGUCAGCUUAAUGAUCCAAAGUCCACUAUCAUCUCACUAACUAAGUGCUUGUGUGAUAAAUAUUAAAAUAAAAG